UUCACUGGAUGAUCAGGAAACAUGUGCUGUCUGAACUACAAAUAUUCAUCAAUAAGAAUUCUUCAAUAGCCUAUCUAGCCAGUGAAAAUGGCCGGUGCACUGAUCAACUCCAAAAUCUCUGAGUUGUAAAACCAGCUGCCAUACUUAAUGACCUGGCUUCCUGUAUUUUCUUCAAUCAAGACCGACAACAUUGUGAGCAAACACCAGUUUUGCACAGCAUGCCUACCAAACUAUUCACCUCUGGAUUAACCUCACACUGCUUGUUGUUGGCAUCAUUACCAGGAUAAUGACACUGGUUUAUUUCAGCUCAAGUCAACACACCUUGCUGUCCUGAGAACCACAGCCACAAAGGAGGAAAAAAGAUCAGAGUCUGGUGAUAUCCUGGAUGGAGAGCCAUGAACGAUGCCUACUGUACGGCCCACAGAGGAUACUGGUGAUUGUCAGAGAUCCAGGUGUGUCAUGCUAGCAGUGGCUAACUUCAGCCCCAACCAACGCUGACAUGCGUAGUAGUGCUCCAACACCUGCAAACAGACUUUAUACAUUGAAAGCAAACUAGUCAAAUAUAAAUCAAUAGCACACAACAUGUUGGUCACUGAAUGUAUGUUACCCUGCAACACCAAAACCAGGGCACACAUUUAAUAAAAAUCCCUAGGGAUUACCAGAAUUUGCAACUAGCAGGUAGAGACAAUAGUGUAGCGUGGUGUCUGAGAGAGAGCGUGUCACGGAGCAGACAGAAGUACACACACAGCUGUGCUUAACACUACUCACGACUCCGAGCAGACACACUGAGCCUCGUUUACACUUCUACAGACAGCAGACAGAGAGUGUGGACACACUGUGUGGCAGCACUGACUGGGUUGCCAGCAGCAGGUUUCUGCUGUCUCAGCUCAGAGAG